GUACCAAAACAGGUACUUCCGAUCUGACAAAAAGGCAAAAUGUACCCUCCUUUUUAAAUUUCAUGCCAUUUUUUUAUUAUUCAAAUUUAUUAGUCAAAAAUUGUUCUGCAAUGAUCACCAGUCAUGCAGCUUUCAUUUGAUACCAAAAUUAAUAAAAUAUUCUAUAUAUAUUGAAAGUUAUGUCAAUGCGUAGGAACUAUUUUGUGUUAAAUAUGUACUACUUUCUGGUAU
rnacentral:lncRNA from 1 species